GAUGAACGCUGGCGGUAUGCUUAACACAUGCAAGUCGAACGGUCACUUCGGUGAUAGUGGCGGACGGGUGAGUAACGCGUGAGAAUCUGUCUUCAGGUCGGGGACAACAGUUAGAAAUGACUGCUAAUACCGGAUGUGCCUUUGGGUGAAAGAUUUAUUGCCUGAAAAAGAGCUCGCGUCAGAUUAGCUAGUAGGUGGUGUAAGAGACUACCUAGGCUCCGAUCUGUAGCUGGUCUGAGAGGACGAUCAGCCACACUGGAACUGAGACACGGUCCAGACUCCUACGGGAGGCAGCAGUGGGGAAUUUUCCGCAAUGGGCGAAAGCCUGACGGAGCAAUACCGCGUGAGGGACGAAGGCCUUUGGGUCGUAAACCUCUUUUCUCAAGGAAGAUGAUGACGGUACUUGAGGAAUAAGCAUCGGCUAACUCUGUG
rnacentral:rRNA from 1 species